rnacentral:lncRNA from 1 species
GAAGACACUUGCUUUUGGGGGUUCUCGGUCAGAUUUGAAGAAGAAAAUAUAUUGGGCCACCACUGCAGAAACAAUUGGGCCAUUGAAUAAAGAAAAGUUGAAGCCCUUUUGUUACAAUUAGUGAAAACGGUGCGUAAAAGGCAAAAGCUGAAGUGGGUCUCUCAGUUUACAUCACAUUGUGCAGAGAUAGGAUCAUUUGAGUUUCCCCCAAUUCUUCACGAGCUAGGGUUCCAAUAAAGAGAAGAACAACGAACCAGAAGCGGGUUCCAUGGUUGAUUUCAGAAGCUGAUCAGAGGUCCACGGCCCAUAGGAAGGCAGCCCAGAAGAAGCUAAUCGGUCCAGAAGCUGAUCAGAAUAGAAUGUUGAUCGGAACGACAAGCAGUUGACGGUUGAAGAAUGAAGCAGAAUCAGUUAGAGUUAAUCAAGAAGCUUCGAAGUUAGUUAAAGAUUCUUUCCCUUUUCCCUUUUUCCCGAUUCUUCCCUUCUUUCCCUUUUCCUAGUCUUUUUUUGUUUGGAUUUUUCCCUAUAAAAGGGAGGUUUUGUAAAGUGUAAAAACACAAGUGGUGGGUGACAGACACCGCUCUAGCUCUAUUCCUUGCUUUACAGUUUUCUUUGAGUUUCCAAUUCUCUCUGCUUGUAGUUUUAGAAUUUUCAGCUUUUGUAGUGUAGAACCUUUGAUCUCUUGCACUGGGGUUCUUGGAUUUUCCAUUGGGUGACAGACAUUGGAUAUCUGAGAAACUAUGGUAUUUGUAAUUCUGAAUUUAGUUUCCAAUAAAGCACUUUUUCAGUUUCGAUUCGCUUUAUAUUUGAUCUUGUUCGGUUGAUUUCUGGUUUUACUUUCCUUGAUUUACCAUUCAAUGAUUUUACCAUUCAAUGAUUUUACAUUCCAAUUUUAUAUUCUGAGUUUCUUGCGGGUUUGUUUCUUUCUUUUAUGAUUUUCUUUGCAUAUCCAUUUCCAGUAGAAGUUUUCAUUUCCUAUAUUUUGAUCUAUUUUGAUAGUAAUAGAUGAUUUGUUUACUGAGUUAGUUGAUACGUGAGUAGGUUAGAUUUUAAUUCUAUUUUUGGGUGUUUUCAGAUUUUAUAAAUUUCCAUUCACAGUUACUGUUUUAAUUUCUUUCUUAGCAUUCAUUCCCAUAUUAGUUCUUAUCAUUCAUUCACUUAGUUAAUUACCAAUUUAGGAUUUCCUUCAUAUUAAUUGGAUUUCAGAUUGUGAAUUCUGUUUUAGUUUCUUUUUAGUUUGUAAGAAUCUUUUAAUUGACUUAGCUUGGUCUUGUUAAUACAUAUUACAUUAGUUACCGUAGAUAUCAUGCAUUGUUUUCUUUCUCUUUUUCCAUUGGUGUUACUUAGAUUUUAAUUCUUUUAGUUUCUCUUUUUUUAGAUUUUAGUUUCAUAUUUUCUUUCCCCACCUAGUCUUAGUAAAUAAAUAAAAUAGGUUUAAUUCUAAAAUUCUAAACUUGAUUUUGCCAAGUCCUGGGAUUGAUCCCUAGUCAGCCCUAUACUACAUUAGUGGGGACUAGGUUUUGUUGACUUUUUGUGCGACCAAAAAGCCUUUCAACAAUCCUCUCCCUCUCUUUUUUCUUUUCAUCCCUCUCUUUUUCCUCUUCUUUUCUCUCUUCUUUUUCUUUCUCGUCUUCAUCUUUUUCUUUUUCACUCAACCUUUAUUUUUCUUUUCUCUCUAUUUUUCUCUCAUCUAAAGCUCUGCCACUUCUAGUAACAAUAACUUUGUACUCCUCCCUAGGGUUAACUUUCAUAUAGCCCCCAAAAUCAUCCAUCUUCUAAAUUAGGUGACAAAUUUGUGUCUCCAUCCUUCUGAGUGUUGCUUCAGUGCUUUUAUGAUGAGAAACAAACAUCUGCAUUAAUUGUUGAACUGUGACACCCAUCUUAGCCACUCUUUUUGAUAGAGAGAGUUGUUAUUGCCAUUAUUGUUGUAGUAGUCUAUCAAAUUUCCCGGCAACUUGCCCAAAUUGACUUUGAUCCAUGCUUGAGUGAGGUAACCACCCGUAGUUGAAAUUACCUUGGUGGGAUUGAGUGCCCAUAUAAUUAACUUCUUGUCCGAAUUGCAUCCUGCAAGCACUAAACAUAAAACCCUAGAAAACACUGUUAGCACAAAAACAAAAAUAAACGCCACAAAAACACAAAAUAAAAACAAAAUCAAAAUAAAAAACAUAAAAUAAAGUCAAAGUUAAUCAAGAAUCACACAAAUGGAAUAGUUUAAACCGUGAGUCCCCCAACAACGGUGCCAAAAACUUGUUGAGUCACCAGCAAGUGUACUGAAUCGAAUAAGUAAUAUAAAAUGGUAAGACCAAGUAUCCUGUCGCAAGAGACUAUCGGCACUAGAAAGUUGUGUGAUAACUUGAUUAAUUAAGGCUAAAAAAGAACGAGAU